rnacentral:rRNA from 1 species
UACGGAGGGUGCAAGCGUUGUCCGGAAUCACUGGGCGUAAAGGGCGCGUAGGUGGCUCAUGAAGGCUGUGGUGAAAGUCCGGGCUCAACCUCGGAUCGGCCGUGGCGACUCGUGGGCUGGAGCACUGUAGAGGCGGGUGGAAUUCCGGGUGGAGUGGUGAAUGCGUAGAUAUCCGGAGGAAUACCAAAGGCGAAGGCAGUGUCCUGGCUGGCAUCUGACGCUGAGGCGCGAAAGCUAGGGGAGCGAACAGG